CGGUUCAUUUCACUUUUUAUUUUUUCAGCCAGGUUUUGGCAAGAGUUAUACUCAGCAGAGGGAUUUGAGGGACAAAAUAAAAACAAACACAAAAAGGCAGGGAAGGAAGAAAACAACCAGCACUGACAGAGACAGCCGAAUGUGGGGAGGGCAGAGAAGUUGGUCUAUAGGCCACAGGCCGUGUCCUGGGGAUGAGGACUCCAAGAAGAAAAGAAGUGCGGACUAGAAAUCUUGCUGCUGACUUGCAUAUAGAAGAAUCUUCAAUAUGUUUACAACAUGCUGGGUGCAAAAGGAUUGCAGCAGAAUGAGUCGUAAUCCAAAAAUUGAGAACUGCAGCCACUAUGUCUGUGAUAAAACCAGACCAGCAACAUUUAAUAAUCAUUGAUGGCUUGGACUGUGCCAGGCACUCUGCUAUGCAUGUACAGAUGUUACCUCUGAAUCCCCACAUGACUGUCAGUUGCUGAGCUUGGGGAGAUACGAACCUGAAGCCACCAAGUCCACCCACAAGAAGAGCUCUCUUGAAAGUGAAGGCAACAAAAUACAAAAGGCAGAGGACAAAUGGUAUUAUUUCAAUUCCUAGAUACCACUGUACCUGAAGAAUAACAAUUCUGAGUGUGAAGAAUUUUUUGCUUCAGUGACUUGGAGAUCGGUUUUUGCCACAUAUAGCUGAGAAUUUAAUACGGUGAGAUAUGGUUAAAGUGGUAUUCAGAGCAGCUGAAAAGCAGUAGCUCCUGAGCAGGGGCAGGAUGGGGCUGAAGAUGGGUCUGUGGAGAUGAGGGACAAUAACAUUGUCACCACCGUGUACACCCUUCAGUCGUAACUCCUCCACCAACAAGCCCCCUCUAACAGCCACACACCUGAAUCAUUUUACCUCAGGGAGGGCAUGUCUUCCAGGAAAGUGUUUUGAUAGUGGGAAUAGGCUAAAUCAAAUCUCAAAGACUUGUCUACAACUUGAUCUAGGAAGAUGCAGAAUCACCCAUGUUUUUAUUUCUCUAAAUUGCUUGUUUUGAGGGCCCCACAUUGGGAGUGCAGCAGCACCCCAGACUUAUGAGGAAUCUUUUAUUCCAUAGCCUUUUCUAUACCCUUAUUAAUAUCGCUGCUACUGAAGACAUGCUCUAAGGCUCUCCAGUGCCAUCUAUACUCUGGAGUAACUCUGAACUGUGGAGUUCUUUGCUCUGUGUGUCUACAAGCAUGUGCAUUUCCCAGUUUAGUUUACUGUCAUUUCAUCCAAGCAUAAAUUUCCCAUCAACUCACAUGAAAGAAUUUAGCAGAAGCUGGAACACAAUAAAUGAGAAUUGGGCAGCAAGGCUGAUAAAAAUCCAAUCCUGAUUUUACUAAGAAAUAAAACAUACAUGUCAUUCAGAGUCGGUUCAUCAAAAUCAGAUCCUGGGCUUACUAAGCAAUAAAAUGAAUGUGUCAAGCUGAUCAACGUGGGAUCCUGAAAACUGGUUGCUGGCAAGGUUUUUCAGACUCCACAGGAAAAGGAAUGAUCCAAAUAGGAGUUUGGAGUCUUAAGCAUUCUAUUCUUCUCCUGGGAAGGAAGCCAAUCUUGUCUCAAAAAAGAAAGCCUGCUGAAUUAUGCCCACGUUCCUUUGCAGAUGAGAAAACUGAAGAAUAGAAAGGUGAAGCAAUGUGUCCAAGGAAACCGGUGGAGGCUCUUUGGAAUUGGUCUGCAGUGCCUAAAUGGAUCCCUCAUCCUGUUUUGGAUGAAAAUACUGAGUUGGAAAGCCUUUUCCAGGGUGAACCUUCACCAAGAAUUUGUUUUCCAGGCAAAACAGCUAGAGGCAAUGAAAGAAGAGUAAAAAAUAAAUUAUAGAAGCAAAAUAAAAGCAAACAGUAGAGAUCAAGAUUUUCAUAGAAGGAACAGAAGAAAGGAAGCUUUCUCCUGUGGGUGAAAUAAUUGCACAAAUAGUGCAAUCUUAAAAGUUGUACCACAUGUUCAGGGAAAGAAUUAGAUGAAGAGCUGAAAAAAUCUGAUCGGUCAAACACAGGCAGUACUAAUGGUCUAGAAUAAAUUGAACCAAGUGUCAAAGAAGAGCCUUAACACAAAACCAAUUAACAAUAAAACCCUAGGCAAUAGAGAGAAGCUGAUAUUCAGAGUAAGCUCAUCAAGGUAAUUAGAUGCCUAGACAUCAGUCAAAAAUUACAAGCCAUACUAAGAACAGAAAGACAUGGUCCAACCGAAUGAGCAAAUUAAAACUUCAGAAGGGACAAAGAAUUUGGA